ACAGCCUUCGGUUGAGAUGCGUCGGCUGUCUGUUUAAUUAAUUUAUUAUCCAUUAAUUACUUCAUCACAAUUAUCAUCAUUAUUAUUAUUAUUAUUAUCUGUCAGUAAUCUCGAGUAAUUUUUUUUGAUAACUUGACAGAUGGACAAGUUGACUCCUUUUUCGACGGUUGAUUUAACAAGAGAUAAAAUGAAAAAUGUUAAAAAGAAUAAAGAAAAAAAUUAAAAGGAUAAAAAAGUGAGGACGAACUGGAUGGAGAUGGAGAAAAACCGGUCGCCCAAAGACUCUGUUGGCAUACCAAUGAAUAAUAUCGGGAGAAACCGGGAUAUUCUGGAUUUAUAUACAUGUAUAUAUGUAUAUAUAUAUAUAUAUGUAGAUGAUUAUGUGUACAUAUAAGCCGCGAGUUAAUUUCUAUUACGUAUUCUGUAGUUAUACAAUCGGUUUGUAAUAAAUAAUAGUAAAAAUAUAAAUUCGAUGACAAAAAAUAUUCGAAAUUUGAAUUAUAAUUAAAUGAAUGUUGAUUGUCGGUUAUGUAAGUGAUUAGUGGGUCGCUAAAAUAAAUUUAAUUGGUACAGACGAUAAAAUAAUGAGCAUUUAAUUAUGAUUGCUAGUUGAUUUAAUUUUUUUUAAAUAUCGGCGGUUUUUUAAAUUUGAAUCCUAGCAAUUUUAAACAGGCGGGAAAUUUUAUUUAUUUAAAAAAAAAAUUAAUUAUCUAGUUUUUUAAAUUGGAGUUAUUAAUGAUUGUUUAUUUAUAAAUUUUGUUCAGAUAAACUGUCCGAGUUUUAAACCAGUGACCGAUAUUUUAAUCAAUUUGUGUCUACUCUGUUAUCAAUAAUUUAAAAAUUUUAAAUUACUGUACCCUAAAUAUUUAGUUUCUAUAUUUAAUUUUUUUUUUAAUAUUUAAGCGCUUAAUAAAAAAUUUAAGUACUCGAGUUUAAAAACUAUUAAAAAUUUAUUACCACGAAUUGGUGAUUAAUUUUUUUGUAAGACAGUAAAAAAUUAUAAUUAUUAAAAAAAAAAAAUUAAUAAUGAAUUUAUAAAAAGAGUUCAAGGUUAAUUUAGUCAAUAAAAUAUGAAAUGCAAAAAAGUUUGACGUAAUAUUUAAAUACAUAAAACAUCAUUUCAAACCUCUAUUACGCACCGAACGGAAAUAUUAUUUAAAGGUUCAAACUUUAGUUUUUUUAGCGCGUACCUGCUUAUAGACACGUAGACACCUCAUAAAUAUUAGUCCCCUAAAUAGUACAGGUCAGUUUUAAAAUUAAAAAAUUCAAUUUUUCAUCCGCUAAAUGACGUGGCCGCAAAAAUAAAUUAAUGCUAAAACUUUUAGCGGCUUAAAUAAAAUAAAAUAAAAAUAUAGAAUGUGCGAGAAUACAAGAUCAUGUAACGCGAAAGGAAAAUCUUGUAAACUUUCUCCGAGUUUAGCUAAAGCAAUUUACUGAUCAAUGAUCGGUUAGAAUACUCACCGGUAAAUCCAUCGUUUAUUUAAAUAAUUUAUCAGUACCGAGUACGAGCAAAUUAUUUAUCAAUUAUUAUAAUAAAUUAUUAAUUUUAAAUUUAUAAUUGCAGGCUGCUAAUUACAAUUUGUAAUUAACUUUGAUUUCUGAUCAAUUGAUUUAUUUGCCAAUGGAGAGAUCACUGGAGACACGAGAGGAGAAAAGCAACUGAAGGUUUUUCCGGAUCCUUUGAACUGGACACUACUUGCGGGCACUACCAACAACUCUCGACUACUUGGGACUUGGGGGGCUACCAAAGAUACCACUUACACUCUCCUUCUGGUCAAAGCCUGGCCAAUAAAGUGGGCUGACAAGUUAAGCGGUCAUACGUCUACACAAAUCAGUGCUUCAUGUACCAUACCCAUGUACGUGCUACCGCUACCAAGACACUGGUGUGUAAAAUAAAAUGUGCGACCAGGCAAAUGAAAAACCGACGAGUCAUCAGCUUCAAUACAUUAACGUCUUCGUGCAAUGUUCAAUUUUUACCGAAUAAUAUUCUACCACGUAGUCGACAUUACUUAAAUAUUCCACGCGAACUUGGUGACACGCUACAUAAAUUAAACUGUGAUUAGGCGAAAAAAUUUAAAACAUUAAUGGGCGGUAGUUAAUUAAAAUGACUCAUGCAUUGUCAUAUAUAUGAGUAUAUUAUACUUUUCGUAGAUUUUAAUUUUAAUUACCGAUAAUAAUAUCAAACUUUUAAAUUAAAUUCAAUAAAAGAUUCAAAAGAUUGAGUCUGACCAAGAAAUCUUUUUUUAUUUUAUUUAUUAUUUUAUUUCUCGCCAACAUUCACGGCCGUCGUUUUACCUUGAACGCAACGUUUAUAAGUUCGUUGAUUCAAUCAUCAGUUUAUCGAGACUUUGAUAUUUUUUUAUUUCAAGUCAUUUGUCAAUUAUUUUAUAAAAAAUUUUUAUUUAUACUUCAAUUGUUUUAUGACAUUUUAAUUUGGAUUAAAAAAUUUUAAGUUUAAAUUCUCUGUCAAGAUAAAUUUAUUUUUAAUGGAAAUUAAUGAGUCAAAUUUAAAUAAUAUUGGCAUGAUUAUAAUAACAAUAAUUAAUACGAUUUUUUUUAACUAUUUGGUGUACAAAAAAGAUCAGGAGAAGAACGAAAAAAAUUAAAUUUAACGAGGGAUUGGAAGGAUUUGUAAAAUGACGACACUGCCCAAGUACGAAAAAGGUGCAAGGAACGACAAAGAUUACGUCGAGAGUAUGAUAGAGACGGAAAAUUAUGAAAAUCUGAAGAAAGCUUCCAAGGCGACCAAGUACGCGUGGAAGAAAAAUUCCGACGUGGACAAAUUUUGUAACCGGAUACUAGAGAAAACCCAAAAAAGAUUUUUUUAAAUUUAAAAAGGGAAAAAUUGUCGCGCCAAAAUUCAAAUUCUAGUGCUGACGUAAAACGAAUGUUUGUAUGAAAAAUAAUCUGGUGAAUUUUUGGGGUAAAUAAAAUGUCUUUAUAAAAAAUCUGUGUCAAUGUUACUGAUAAUUAAAGUCACAAAUUUAAAGACUGAAAAAUAAAAAUAAUAGUCGGGAUCAGAAUUCGAUUUUGAAUCCAUAGCAAUAAAUUUAAAUCCGUUGAUAUAGAUAGCAAUUUCUACAUGUGUAUCUCAGUUUACACUACCGUGGUAAAAAUAUAUAUAUAAAUAAAAAAAAUAUAUAUUUUUUAACUUGAACCUUGAUCCUAGAUACAUUAUUUAUCGCUCGACAGAACAGAAUCACACAAUGCAAGAAUAUUUAAAUAAAUCGACGAUUUGUUGAGCAAAAAUCUAAAAUAAAUAUUCGCUAUUUAAAUUCAUACAAGAUAAGAAACUUGAGCCAGACACUUUAGACAUUCAGGAAUACAAUAAAACCUCAAAUAAAACAUAAUGAAUUCUAUAACUCAUAAAUAUGUUCUAUCAACAAGUGAUAAAAAAUAACAAUAAAAAAAAAUGUUGACAAAUAGAUUCGUAGAUAAAAAUUCAAACGUCAAAAAAUAUUUUUAAAAAUCAGUCUCACCUGGAUCGGAAUCUGGAUCCUCAGAAUAAAAAAUAAAUAAAUAAAGAGGAUGAAUUAAAGCAGCUGAUGGAUCAUGAAUGCAACACGUGACCAUGUGACUUAAUACACGAUCUACGAGGACGAUUGUGUUCCUCUACGUUGCUGUUAUCGUGUCUUGUCUAUCAAUCACUUCUCUCUCGCUCUUGUUUAAAAUUACCCCCACCUAGUUCACCAUUACGCGCAGACGUACUUUUUAUUUUAUUCUGCUGCUGGCUUUUCGUUUUCGUCUUAUUAUUUUUUUUUAUUUUCGUUGGACGUAUUUUUCCUGGGUAGUGACUUCCGGUAACGCAACACACUGGACACCUGGGUUUAAAACUACUUAAUGACUCGGCUUACGUCUUUAAUAACAAUCACCUCCGUCUGAUUACGAUUGACUUCUUGAUGACGUUGACUUGA